AAACCAAAUGUUGUCGCAGUUUGUCGCCAUACAGUAUGCCCUCUGCCAAGAUGAAAUCGCUUUUGUUGUUUGUUGUCGUGGUGGGGAUUGUUUACGCUGGGCCUGAUACAGCAGGCUGUACUAAACCCUCUAAAAAACCGCAAUCUCAACAAUUUAAAUCUCUCUCUUUCACAAAUUCGUUGAGUUUGGUGUUUUGCUCUGAUUUUGCUCAAGAUAGUGGGACUUGCAGUGAAAAAUUGGAAGCAGAUGAAGAUGGGCUCUACUUAGAAGGACAGUAUCCUUGUCAGCACUUCAAUAAUGGAGAAGAAAGCAAUGAAGGCAAGCCAGUUAUAGCAUUCUUCAGUAAAGUGAUGUUUGAUGGCAAAGAUUAUUAUUAUCAUCAAAUAACAGACAAAACCGGAUUGUUCCUUACCAAAGACUUCAGGACAC